rnacentral:rRNA from 1 species
AAGCGUGCGCAGGCGGUUUUGUAAGUCUGAUGUGAAAUCCCCGGGCUCAACCUGGGAAUUGCAUUGGAGACUGCAAGGCUAGAAUCUGGCAGAGGGGGGUAGAAUUCCACGUGUAGCAGUGAAAUGCGUAGAUAUGUGGAGGAACACCGAUGGCGAAGGCAGCCCCCUGGGUCAAGAUUGACGCUCAUGCACGAAAGCGUGGGGAGCAAACAGGAUUAGAUACCCUUAGU